CCCUAGAGAAAUUGUGUUUGAGGCUGACGUUAAACUAUCUCUUACUUCUUUAAGGCUUAUUUGUAAAGGACUGAAAGUCAGCAAUCACCUUCACUUGAGUGUGCUAAGGGGGACACACAGAAUUAUUUUUUAUUCACAGCAGGUGAUAAAUUUGCAAAAGGAAGGAGCUGGGCUGAGAAAGUUGCUUAUUUGCAAGGCACACAACAAUCAUUGAAAUCUCCAUGGCUAGUUUCCAGCUACCUGUGUGCUAUAAAACUUUCCGGAUGUUGAGAUUAUGGAGAAGGGAAAUGACAAUGAAAAGUCAGAGCAAUCUCAAGGCUCACAAACAAGACAACCCAAAGGACAUUGCUAGAAAAACAACAAAAGACUCCUGGCAUUGAAGCUGGCCUCAGGGUUUUGCUCUGACUCAACAAGGUUACCAAGCUCUCUUCAAACUCCUGAAUAGCCUGUAAAUUACAGAUGCUGCUCAUGUGCUUCCCGUUACUUUCAGAUUGAGCUCUCAGUUGGUGUUUGUUGAAGAAUGAAUCAAAUAUACUUUGCAGUUGGUAUUAAAGGCACAGCUCUAUUCAAGAUAGUUUUUGUUGUUGUUUUAUUUUGUUUUCCUAGUUAUUGUUAUUGUGCUGAAGGAUGAACCAGGCCUCUUCCUUUCUCUUCUGGUUCUGCAUUGUUCUUUAGCCUAUGACCAAUUUUCUCUUCAGCUCAUUAGAAAUCCAGCACACUAAAACUGCUGCUGAUAAUGCAAUACUGGUAACUUUUUUUCCAGUUUAUUUGAUGGCCAGAAGAAUGUAAAAAGAUCAUCCGGGGAAAUUUGGUCACCAGCCACUCAUUCCUGACUCCUCUGCAGACAUAAGAAAUGCAUAAUUUAUACUAGCAGGUCUUGUUAGUGCAGCUCUUUCAGCCUCUACAAAAUUAGGUCAAUAUGUUUUCAUUUACUCUGAACUGGCUGCAUUUAUUUCAUUUAUUUACUGACUUCUGGUGUAAUACAAACAUUUUUCUUUUAC
rnacentral:lncRNA from 1 species